rnacentral:tRNA from 2 species
GCCGGGGUGGUGAAAUUGGUAGACGCGCCGGACUCAAAAUCCGGUAGAGGUGACUCUGUGAGGGUUCGAUUCCCUCCCCCGGCA